UGCAAUUGGCUUCACCCCUCUCUGACAGGUAUUCUCUUCUCGCUGCUUCUGCCCACAGCAACACUACUCCUGCUUCUCGCGCAUUCUUGUCAUGGAUCCGACGAUGAGCAUUUCUACCUCGACCUCCCAUCCAGAGAAGGUUUUGCAUGCCCCGAAGUAAACAGCUUUGUAAACGAAUUCGAUCCGUUCUACAGAUGGUCUCUGCGUUCUUCCCUUGCCAGUGUCCUCUCCACGACAAGUCGCAUCGACAUUGAGCUCGCCAAUUCCGCCUACCAGCAAGCUAGUGCAUGGAGAGUGAUCAGCAACUGGACGAGUGAUGAGGGAGCCAACAAGCUGUACGCCUCGGCCGAUCCUCACAUUGCAGGUGGUCACAUGAAGCAGCACCGGCGCAACUGGCAAUGGAGAAUGCGAGUGGACUGGGGCAUCAGCAUCCGCAUGUGCCUAUCCACUGGUAAUGACCACAGCAAUCGGUCAUGCCUCUGGACUACUCCCAUCCUUCAGAUGGAAAGAGAAGCGGAUCUCAGCCUGCUCUUUAUUGCUGUACCUUACAGGGCUGCAACUGCACCCAGCAUUGAACCAGAUCUGAACAACAUGCCGCGUAGCACAUCAGGAUUCUACCUUUCCAACUACGCCAGCAAUGCAAGGACGGACUUCACCAAGUACCAGAAGAUCAACACCUCCAGCCACUAUUAUCUCACGAACACUAAGGAUGUACCAAAGUGUCGGUUUGCCCCAUCUUACUACAGCAACGACGCCACAGCAUACCUCGGGUUUCCCAGCCUCCAAUGCGGCUGCUCCAAUUCCUCCACCAGGGUAUGUGUCGUGGUCACCAGGAACAUGGACACCAGCAGCUGGGGAUUGUUCGACUAUCGUUCCUCCUGCGAUUUGCUGACGUCUUACUGGGCUUGGAACACCGGUGGAAACACUUGGCUUGUUCUUACCGUACACAACACCUCAUCUGACAAGCCUCUACCAUUUCUUGCAACCUUUAAGGGGAAUACCUCUUUCGGGUCCUCCCUCACUUGGGUUACAGCGAAUGACUUCCAGGCCAUGGCGAACACAACAGUCUGUGUGGAAGCAUUGAUGCAGCAAACACCGGUGCCAUCCAGUGUGGAGGUUCAGAACAGGUGCAGUACUGAUCAGCUGGUAUUAAGCACUCAAGAUGGUGAGUACUACCUCAACAAGAUGAGACGGUUCCUCUGGGCUCCCACUCCCCCCCAGAACAAGAUCAGUACACCCUGUUUCGGAGAUCUGCCUAUGGGACAGCUCGAGUUCAAGGACAAGCUAUGUGUGACAAAGCUGGACACUACUACCAGCACAGAGAUUAAACUGAUGGUCGAAUCCAUGUUACAGCUCAGAGACGUUAAGUUCAAGCAGAAGAAGCUGUGGAAUGAUGGAUCAAACAACAGACACGAAGUCUAUGGCGGGAUUUUGUCAGCGAUUGUGUCCUUCGUGGGAACAUGUUUCUUGGCAACGAGUAACAAGUUGCAGGAUAUUGAAGAGUCCUUUGAGAAAUUCUGGCAUCAUGGUGGCGCCGUUGGGGACUCCAACACCGACGGCCAGGCUGCUCAGUCAAGCAAGGGAUCAGUUUUUUCAAGCCAGGACCCCAUCUUUUGGUUUAAGUUCCUUUAUAGGACGCUCCUCGUACUCGCUUUUGCAGGUAAUUUGACCUCUUCUUGCCACAAGUUGAUUCACUAAGUUCAUAUUUUGUGCAGUUUUACUGUCAUAUACAGCAUAUAGUAGCGUGCAAAGUGUAAAGAAGGACCGGGACAUCUUGCAAGCGCAAACAGUACCUCAGGUCCUCAGUGAUGGUACCGUGGUGUUGCUCACCACCACAGCUACGUACGAGGUGAAACCCUUGUGGGCCAGCUUCUAUGUUAUUUCUGUUCUUACGGCGCUGGCUGUGAUAAUCACACUGGUCGUUACAUGGCGUCAACUUAAAACACUGCCGGCGAAAGAGAGCAGUGAAAUGGAAUGAUUCACUAAUCAUAACCGUCUUUGAAGAUUUUGGUGUCACUAAGUUCUGCCGGCUAAUUGCCCCAAGAUAAAGGAGAAAGCGAUCAAGCCUACUAUGACCAGACGGUCAAUGGAUGUCAACACUGUUCUGGUCUUACGGUGCUGGUUGUGAUAAUUACAGUGGUCAUUGGAGGUAAAAAAGAUCAGAAUAUUACCGUCUUUGCAUCACUAAGGGCUAACUAAAGUUGACCAGUGCAAUAAAGGUCUGACCAGUCAGCAGGGUGGCAAUGGCGGUCAACGGUCAAGGAACGUCAAUCAUCUUUUGAAGAAUACUGUCCAGCUUACCAGAAGCAAACCGGCGCCCUUGAUAAACACAAGCCGAAUCAUCGUCUUCCAUCUCCAGUCCUCCCAAAACCUUGGCAACCCCGCGAUCAAUCGGCAACCCCGCGGCAGCAAACACAUUGGACAGCACCACGUACGUGGCCGAGUCUUCUGGGAAGAGCGCCAUGGCGGCCUCGCCCACCCUCUCGGCGCACUCCACGUCCCUGUACACCGCACACGCCCCCAGCACGGACUUGCACGCCACCAGGUCGGGCUCGAACGGCAUCCCGCGCAGCAGCUCCUCGGCCCCGGCCACCUCACCGGACCGCCCCAGCGUGUCGAGCAUCACUCCAAAGUGCUCGCAGCUCGGCCAGAUCCCAAAGUCCGCCACCAUCAUCUGGAACUUCUCCACGCCCCGCCUCACCGAUCCGGUGUGCGUCGCCGCCACCAAGAUCCCCGUGAAGGUGAUGUCGUCCGGGGUGACGCCCUCCAAGUUGAGCUCCCGGAAGAACUCCUCGGCCUCGGGGCCGUGGCCGUUCGCGGCAUACAUGACGAUGAGCGCGUUCCAGGAGACGAUGUCGGUCUUCUCCGGGGUGGCGUCGAAGAUAGCCUUCGCCUUUGCGAGAUGCCCGUGCUGUGCGUACGCGACGAACAUCGCGUUCCAAGAGAUGAGGCUCCGCUCGGGCAUCGAGAAGAACAUCGCCUCCGCCUCGGCGAGCUGGAAGUUCUGCGAGUAGGCCACCAUCAUGGUCGUCCAGGAGAUCACGUUACACCAGGGCAUUCGAUCCAGCGCUGCCUUAGCGCGAUCCAGCCGCCGGCUCUGUGUGUAGGCGUGGAUCAUCGCGUUCCAGGAGACGAGGUUCUUCUCUGGGAUCCGAUCAAACUCGAGCUUCGCCUGGUCGAUCUCGCCGUGCGCGACGUAGCUCCGGCACAGGAUGUUCCACGCCACUACAUCCUUCACGGGCAUCGAUUCGAAGCACCGCCGAGCAUCUUCCAGAUGCCCGUUCUGGGCAAAUGCCGUCGCCAUGGCCGUCCACGAGACAACGUCGCGGUGCGCCACCUUCUGAAAGAUCUCUUUCGCCUUGUCGAUCAUCAGGGCCACUCCAUAAGCAGUGAUAAGGGCAUUCCACGAAACGAUAUUCCUGGUUCCCAUUCGAUCAAACAGAUCCUUUCCUUCCACAAGACGCCCGUUCUGGGCAUACCCCUGGAUCAUCGCGGUCCACGAGACGAGAUCUCUCUCCGGCAUCGUAUCAAACAAUUCCUUGGCGUGAAAGAGAUCUCCACUCUCGGCAGUGGUCGCGACCAUGGAAUUCCACGACAAUCGGCUCCUCGCGGGCAUUCUCUCGAAGAACGUGUUCGCAAUAUCCAAAUGCCCCUUUUGGGCAAGUGUUGUCACCAUUGUGUUCCAGGACGCAAGAUCCCGCUGCUCCAUCGCCAGGAACAUCGCCCUGGAGCGAUCGAGGUACCCAUUCCUGGCAUAUAUCGCGACCAUCGCGUUAGAGAGCACCACAUCCCCGUCGACGAUGGAUUCGAACAGGGAUUUGGCCCUCUCCAGAUCGCCAUUGCGCGCGUAGGCGACGAUCAUCGUCGUCCAGUGGACGGCGCUGCGCUGCGGGGUCCUGGUGAAGAGGAGCUCCACCUCGUCGAUCCGGCCGCUGGCGGCGGACGCCGCGAUGGCGAUGCCCCAGGAGAACUCGUUCUUGUGCUGGAUCGCGUGGAAUGCCCGGCGCGAUUCCUCGGCGAGCCCGAGGCGGCCAUACAUCUGGACCACCGCAUUGGCCACGAAUCGAUCGGCGCCAUAGCCACUGGCGAUGAUCUGUGCGUGGAUCUUCCUGCCCACCGCGGCGUCGCCGGAAUCCCCAGCCGCGCGGAGCGAUUGGACGAAACGCUGGCAUUCCACAAAUUUGCCCUUGUCAAUGCAGGGCAUUUGCUAGGAAUAUAUUUCAAGCAUCAUCAUCUUUUCAGUUUCCUCUCUUCUGCUAAUGUUUCUUUUCAGCUUGCAAAGAUCUGAUGCUGGAAUAUCAACAAGAAUAACCUUUUUGCCAGUUUUCUUUUCCAGUUUUUUUCACGGGAUGUUCCAGUUCGUAACAAGCCAGCAAAGUCUUUGUCACGUCUAAGCUUUUGGGUCCGUAGCCUACGCCAAGACAACUUCUGGCAACCCGAAGAUGAUCACGCAAACUCACAUUGCAGUCUCUCUCCGGGUGGAAUACAGCGAAUGCAUCAAAGAAAAGCAGAAGCUGUGGCUUCUACCUUGGAUCCUAAACUGCCAAAGCAUGGGAAGGAAUCCUUUCUGCAAAGAUGCAGUGCUUGUCCUGCGUAGCAGCUCCGAUCCACUCGCGUGAACAAUCGCGCUUCCACCCUUAUACACUUCACACGGAUUUACAAACACCACCACCUCAAACCACAUAGAGUUCAGUAAUCUCUUCUUACUACUAUGUCCUUCUGGGUCGAUAUCCGCAAGACGCUGCCAUCUUUUUCUCCGGAGUCCUGACAGAUGUGGAGGAGACGCUAUUACCCAGCCAACGAGCUGAUGAACUCUGCCAAGUUAUGCCCUGAGCUGCCCGGCUGGGUGGAGAGUGCAGCCUGUCGGACCAGCUUCCUCCUUUGCUUGGCACGGUUCCUGAGCUCUUGGUCCUCCAUUACAGCACGCAAGCCUCGCUCGACGUCAUCUGCGGACGGCACACCAUCCACCCCAAUAUCCACCGCAAUUUUGUACUCGUCCACAAGGUGCCUGCAGGUUGGGAGCUGGUCACCUAAGAACGGCCAGGCCAGAAUGGGAACACCAGCCAGCAGAAUACACUCCACCACGGAACUCCACCCGCAGUGUGAAACUAAUGCACCAAUGGCCGGAUGAGAGAGAACCAGCUGCUGAGGCACCCAACCUGUAAGGAUUUUCCCCCUACCGGAGGUUCGCUCCGCAAAGUUUGGAGGUAGCACGCGGUUCAGGUAGGCGGUCGGCUCCUCGUUCCUGGGACUUGGAAGCGACCAGAGGAAUCUAAAGCCGGACGAUUCGAGUCCGUGUGCCAGCUCUCGAAUCAUCUCGUCGCCCAAGACUAUAAAGCUGCCGAAGCAUAUGAGGACCAGCGACGCCGUGGGUUGCUUGUCCAGCCAUGAGACAAGCGCCGUGGAAUCCUCGCUGUUCUUGCCGAUUGAGACCGCUGUUCCUCGAAUGUCUUCUUGAGAGGGUCGAUCAUCCUGGAGGUAGGAAGAUGGAUACAGAGGUCCUAUGGGAAUGCACCGUAUCUCGGGGUACUCGCAAUGUAAAGCAUCCAAUAUCUGCACGGACACGUGAGAAAUCACCCUCCACUAAAUGCCCGUCUUACUGGUCCUUCAAGCUCUUCGGAAGUAUUCAGUAGUAUCCCGUUGGAGUGGACAAAAUGCUUGGCUACGCCUUCUUUACCCAAGUAGAAUCUGUGAACAAAGAUCACGGAAACAAACAGAAACAUAGAAAGAAUGAUACCCAUGGGAUUUGACGACAACGUCCAAAGGUAGCUCAGCCCAUCGAAGAGGUGGAAGUCCGGGAACAUGAACUACGCUCUGCAUGUCUUGGUCCACAUUCCCGCUUCGGCUGGGGCCGUGGAAGGAGAGCAUGACAGCGAGAUGCGCCGAAGCACCUGUGUAGAGGAUAUACUUUGGGAUGCCUCUCUCCUCAACAGUUUGACUUGCCCAGAACAUCACCAUUCGAUCGAGAACCACCGCUUUGGGGCGCAGCACAUCGAGGUGUUUCCGGAGCGAGUCAGGCAGGGCAGUGGGAAAACGGGAUGAUGGCAAAAGGUCGGGACGAGACUUGCGAACUCCAGGGAAAAUGAAAGCCGGUCGAGGGGAAGGAAUGGACUCCAUGAGAGCGCGCAUGUCAAUGUUUGCUAUGUCCGUGGUCAUUCCAGAUGGGUUCAGCCACGGCAGUAGCACCGUAACACGGCAGCCCUGAGAAGCGAGCUUCUUUGCAAAGAGCAUACCUGUGUUGAAGUGACCACCGCCUUGAACCGUAACCAAAACGAUGUCGGCCAUUCUCGACCUUGUCGGCCUUAUCUUAACCAAGCGCUCUUGUUCUAUUGCAACUCCAGACUCCUGUAAGACUCAUUUUGAUGAACUUGACUUGUUGUUAACCAAGGGUUUCGUCUAGCACUAUUUUCAUGCUUUGUUUUUUUUUCCACGUGGCCAGUUCAGCGGUCGAACGAAUAUGCCAACACAAUGAACAGUUAGAUCUCUGAUUCGCAGGCUAGAGAGAUUCGAGCGCGGCCGCUCUAGCGGCUGGCGUGAUAGUGUUUUAUUUCGGCCGCCAAAAAGCCAUUUGGAAUGGCUUUUUGGCAAAGAAAAAGCCAUUUCAAAUGGCUUUUGUCGACUCGAAGCAGGGAAGAACGCUGUCACCAAAGUAAAACCUCUCCUGCUUUGCAAGUCCGGGUGAGCCAAAAGAUCGAAAAGAAAAGAGAAACAAGCAAACCUGGAGAGCGUGGAUGUCAAGACUCGUCGGACCACCCCUGGAGAUUGGAAUGUUGGAGAGUGAAGGCCGAUGUCACCCUCGUCUUCCAUGCGCUCCAACGUUCCAGUCGGGAAGAACGGCACCACGACCGUGAAGGAAGCGAUGAACAUCCUGGGAAGAGCGUAGAUCACCAAGAGCUCUCAAAGAUCACGGCGGGAGAGCUGAACGGCGCAAGGAAUGCAACGUGCUGGCCACGGAUCCCAGCACGAACAAGUUUGGAAAUCCAUCCUCGAAUGCGGUGAAAGAAAAAAGAGAUCGAUUGCUCAAACCCACUCACAUCCAUUUGAGCUCGAUGGAAACUGUCUCGGCAGCGACCCCUCCGUGCCACAUCCUCGUACUCGUUGCAAUAUGUCGAGGAGAUUAGUUCGAGAUUAGUUCCAGCACGGAGGCAGCCGCGCAGAGACUUUUCGAUUGUAUGCCCGAAAAAACUAUAGUCUCGUGGAACGCGAUGGUCUCUGCGUAUGCCGCGCAGGGAGACACUAGCAUUGCGAAGCUUUUGUUUGGCAAGAUGCCCCAAUGGGACGUGGCUUCUUUCAACGCAAUGUUGACUGUUUGAACAAGAGGACUACGUUUUGGAAUUGCGAAGAUUUUUCAACGCUCUUCCGGAAGCCAAUUUUGUCUCUUGGACUAUCGUCUUAACAGCAUAUGCCCGCAUUGGGCAUCUUUGUGAGUGUAAGUUCCUCUUCGAUGCGAUGCCACAGAGAGAUAUAGUGGCAUAUAACGUAAUGCUCUCGGCAUUUUCCCAGCACAGUACUGGGAAAGAUUCCAAAGCCUUAUUUGAUACCAUGCCACAGUGGGAUAUGCUUUCCUGGACAUCACUUUUAAACGCAUAUAUCCAAGAAGGGCAUAUUGAUCGAGCCAAACGUACAUACGACACAAUGCCAAUGCAGGAUACAGUAUCAUGUACUGUUAUGCUCACGUUUCUCUCUACGUAUGGUGCCAUAGUCGAUGCUAGGGUGGCCUAUGAAUCUUUGCCAUGCAAGGAUUUAGUUUCACAAAACGCAAUGCUAUCGGCGUAUGCCUCAAAAGGGUACCUUGAAAAAGCUCGAUUUUUGUUUGACUCCAUGCCACAAGACCUUGUUUCUUGUACUAACAUGCUCAUUUCGUAUGCCCAAGUCGGUCAUCUUAACGACGCAAAACUUGUUUUCAUUUCCAUGCCGGAGCAUGACGUAGUAUCUCGGACCGUCAUGCUCAUCGCAUAUGCCGUGAAUGGGCAUGUUUUAGAAGCCAAGAAAGUGUUCGAUUUGAUGCUAGAGAGAGAUCUCACCGUGUGGAGCGUUAUGCUGGCUGCGUAUGCCUACACCGGCCACUCCUUUGAAGCCCGCCACCUUUUCCAAACCAUAAAUUUCAUUGAAGCAGCUGGUGAAUCCUGCUUUGCCCCCAUUUUGAUUUCCCUGGGACAUGUUGGUGGACUCGACGCCGUGCUUCGUGUCGUUGCAAGGGGACUUCGCGUUAAAGCCUACCAAGCAACACUACGCGUGCAUGGUAGACCUCAUUGCCAAGGCAGGGCAUCUGGAAGUUGCCGAGCUUCUCUUGGAAACCAUGCCGUUUGUACCUGAUGCUGUAGAUUGGAUGUCCCUGACAAAAGGGAAUAGACGGCCUGGCAAAAGCGCGAAAGACAAAAACAACCAAAUGAGCCGCGACUACGAUCUGCAAGCUGAGAACGCGGCCAUGAAUGAGAAUGGUGGUGACGCCGAAUGGGAAUAGAUCAACUUUAAAUGCACCAGACAGGGAGCAGCCUCUCGCCGCGGCUUUCGUCCAGGAAAACUUGAUCACCCGCCAUCGCUCAAGGUAAUUAUGAUUCCCGAUAUCCGCAAUUAGCGCUAAUCAAUCUCUUGGCCUGUCUGUCUCGUUCGUGCCGCGGCAGCACAGCAGCACAACAGCACAGCAGGCUUUUGUGCUCUUGUUCGGUUCGGUUUUUAAUAACGCAGAGAAGAGAAGAGCCAUGAACUUGCAGAUACUGCGGGGUUUAUAGCCUUUCUUUGAAAGCUUCACAUUCGAUCCAGGUUCUUUAGUUUUUCUUUGAACUUAUUCGCCAGCACCCACUCAUUCGCUCUUUCAGAUUUAAUGCAGCGGACCUGUGCGUCAUCGAGCAAAAGCUAUACGAGCUUUUCCAUCGCUGGAAAGCUUUUAGCUGCACUUCCCGAAAGAUUCACUCUUUCCUUGUUUCGCUGUAUACCACGCCAGGCGUCGCUCUACCUCGUGGCUACGAGUGCGUCCGUUCAAUCUGGCAAGAGCAUUGCUUUUCCUCUUUGGCCGACCCACGUUGAUAAGGCUGCAAACGCUCUGUCCAGUUUUUCGGUGGGCGUAAAGGAAUCUUCUGGGUCAAAGUAAUAUGGUUGACCAGAUUAUGGAUGGUCAACGCCAUAUGCUCGCUAGUUAUAUAAUUAAUUGUACCGUACAAAUUGUAUGUCUGGUUUUGAUUGAUUUGAUUUCCAAACUCGCAUUGUCUUCUCUUUCAUCCAGAUGCUGUUACUGAUUCGCAUCAUGCAGUUCAAGCAUGCGUUCUAGUAAGUUAUUGCGAACAGAUAAAAACUUAUCUCUAAUAAAUUUUCACUAAUGUUGGAAGCUGCAAAAAAGAUUCGCUGGGUUUUAGCUGUAGGCAUGCGUUCAGCAAACCUGUUGUGCGUGCUCAGAUCUUUAGAUCGUGUUAAAGUUCGCGGAAAAAUAGUUGCCUCAUACAUUGACUAAUUGUUACCAAGGCGGCAUCUUUUUCAUCCUCGGUCCAAAUCUCGUGCAUUAUACUCAAGGUCUUACCCAGCCUCAGCUAGCGUUGGUUGACAAAGAAGAUUAAUAAUGAUAACCGAAACUUGUCAACUCGUGUAUGCAUAUAAUUUGUCACUUCGUGCGUCCAAUGUUCUUAAUAUAAGUAAUGCUUGCAUACAGGUUAACAUCACCAGCCAUUGACAAAUUCUCCUGAAUAUCAGAGGAGACUUUGGGAAGAAUUCUUUUCUUUCUAUGAUGCCAUGUGAACAUUCAUAAAGAAAGAGGUUUAUGGAAGAUCCGUGCUCUUAAGCUCGUUUGUAGACAAGGAAGCAUUGGAUCUUUAAAGGAAUAGGAAGCAUCCACAACACUUUCGCCUUCAACUUGUAGUAUGAAAACAAAAAAGCACGUAAAACGAAUGUCCUCAUAUCCUUAUAUAUGGCUGCAGUUGUGAAUCAUAGGAUUAUAAGCUAUAAUGGCUCAGGCAGAGAAUGUAGGCAGUAGUAGCUUCUGCAAUUGGCUUCACCCCUCUCUGACAAGUAUUCUCUUCUCGCUGCUUCUGCCCACAGCAACACUACUCCUGCUUCUCGCGCAUUCUUGUCAUGGAUCCGACGAUGAGCAUUUCUACCUCGACCUCCCGUCCAGAGAAGGUUUUGCAUGCCCCGAAGUAAACAGCUUUGUAAACGAAUUCGAUCCGUUCUACAGAUGGUCUCUGCGUUCUUCCCUUGCCAGUGUCCUGUCCACGACA
rnacentral:lncRNA from 1 species